rnacentral:rRNA from 1 species
CAAUAGCGUAUAUUAAAGUUGUUGCAGUUAAAAAGCUCGUAGUUGGAUUUGUGGCGUACGGUGUGUUCCGGGCACUUGUUGUCUGAGUAACCUGCUGUUGCCAUCCUUGGGUGGAACCUGUGUGGCAUUAGGUUGUCGUGCAGGGGAUGCCCAUCAUUUACUGUGAAAAAAUUAGAGUGUUCAAAGCAGGCUUAUGCCGUUGAAUAUAUUAGCAUGGAAUAAUGAGAUAGGACUUUUUUGCUAUUUUGUUGGUUUGCGCAAAGAGGUAAUGAUUAAUAGGGACAGUUGGGGGUAUUCGUAUUCCAUUGUCAGAGGUGAAAUUCUUGGAUUUUUCGAAGACGAACUACUGCGAAAGCAUUUACCAAGGAUGUUUUCAUUAA